rnacentral:rRNA from 1 species
GACGAACGAUGGCGGAGGGGGGAACAAAGGCAAGUCGAACGGAAAGGCCCUGCUUUUGUGGGGUGCUCGAGUGGCGAACGGGUGAGUAACACGUGAGUAACCUGCCCUUGACUUUGGGAUAACUUCAGGAAACUGGGGCUAAUACCGGAUAGGAGCUCCUGCUGCAUGGUGGGGGUUGGAAAGUUUCGGCGGUUGGGGAUGGACUCGCGGCUUAUCAGCUUGUUGGUGGGGUAGUGGCUUACCAAGGCUUUGACGGGUAGCCGGCCUGAGAGGGUGACCGGCCACAUUGGGACUGAGAUACGGCCCAGACUCCUACGGGAGGCAGCAGUGGGGAAUAUUGCACAAUGGGCGGAAGCCUGAUGCAGCAACGCCGCGUGCGGGAUGACGGCCUUCGGGUUGUAAACCGCUUUCGCCUGUGACGAAGCGUGAGUGACGGUAAUGGGUAAAGAAGCACCGGCUACCUACGUG